ensembl:lncRNA uncharacterized LOC115604244
AGGACCGUGGGAUGCUGGUGAGCUCUGGCGAGAGUUGCCGGUCUCCAUUUCCAAGCGGGGAGCCGCCGGGAGCGCCUAUUUUACCAUUGAGGACGAGAUAGGCAGAAAAAGGAGCGCUUGACUUGGAGUCCAGCCCCGAUUUUAGUCCAAAGGACGUGCUUUUGGGAAUUGUGUGUCCGGCUCCAGCGUUUUGCCUGCUGAGGAAGAGGCCUGCUCUGUUCUCCAGCCUUGUUUUGUGGAUUUCUAUCUCUCCAAAUAAUUCCUCAGCAUCCCCUUGAAUGGCAUCUACCGCACUAGAGAGCUUUUCCAACCCACAAGCCUGAAACAACUUCCCACAACUGAAAUGACUCCAGCACAGCUAUUCCCUAGAAGACAUCCCUCCUGAUUUCUUGUGGGGCCUGUAAGAUAUCUGAAGUUGUAGGGAUGAGGUGACCAAAUUUGAAGACAGUAUUCAAAGUGAGGAUGUGCCACUGAUUUAUAUAAUAGCAUUAUAAUAUUUUCCAUAUUAUUCUCUAAAACUCUUUUCUUCGUACAAACCCCAUAAGAUUCUUUUUAAUUCUUUGAACUACAAUGCCUUUUAACAUCUGUAGUUUACUCUGAUCAGAUUUUGACAAAGGAAUAAAAGGCUCCAUUUUUCACAUAGAAUUUUAUUUAUUGUUUGAACUUUAGAGGAGAAAUUGGUUAACUUACAAUUUAAAAUUCUUGGCAAUGUAGACCAUUGGGCAAGGAUUUCAUUAUCAGCCAUUCUACGCUUUCUGUAGAAAUGUGUGAGGCUGAAAGUUGGUGCACAAGGUCUUAGCUUAAUAGACUUGUCUUUGGUUUUAUAAACAAAGCAAAAGACUUAACUGGAGUUGCCAGUAUUCCCAAAGAUGUCAGAAAUGUCAUUCACCUGUACCCCCUUCCUGAUGAAAUGUGCUGGGACUGUGCAUUGACAUGCUGUUCAACCAGGCCCACGCACAUGUACAAAAUUACCCGAGUUCUGUGGUCUCCUGUUUAUUGCACCACACACCUUCACACCAGGUCAGGGGAAGACCCCUUUGAAAAUGAAGUGCUUGAUGACUGCAGAGCAUGAGGAUCUCACUGUUGUGUCACAGCUGGGUGUUACACCCUCAUCAGGGUAUUAGAAAAGGCUCAGGGAAAACAGUUACAUCUGUUCUUAUUGCUUAAGACACUUCCUGCAGCUACUGCCUUUCCUUAGAGUUACCAAUCCAAGCACUGACCCUGCCUGACCCUACUUAUCUUGUAAAAGCUGACAAGAUCACAGCCUGAAGCAGUAUAGCCACAGGCUCAAUACUGGCUACCAAAAUGCCUGUUUAGUAUUUUCAAGAAACGCUAUUAUUCUAAAGAUGUGCAAUACCAGCUGUUAGAUAUAUGGACAACACCAACACACAGCCCUGACCCCUGAACAUUCAGCCCCACUUACACAGAAAUCUGUGCCUCUCAAGGGGCCAACAGUGAGCUACCACAACAUAGUGAUUGCCUACCUGUAAGUGAGCUGGAAUUUAAGCACCAUGUGAGGAUAUACACUCAGAUAUUGGGUAAAACUAUUUGAAAACUACAGUCUUGAGUUCAGAAUUCAUUGUUUGCUUCUUUCAUCAAUUGCAUUACUGCUUUAGCAAUAGAAAAAGCUCUGCCAUUUCUGUGUAAUAUAUAUAUCUAGCUUAGUGUAGAGAAUCUUCUUCAUUCUUCUGUGACCAAAGCAGUUUUUCAUCAGAAAGUAUUUUUAGAUGAACUGUAAGUUUCUUCCCUAGCAAACAUUUUGGCUCCACUGUUUGAAAGCAAAUACACGUUACCCCAGAUACCUCUAAGGCUAAACAAAAGUUUAAAUAUCCAAGAAAUACUAAGGGACAAAUCUGGUUUAAUUGUAUAUACAUUGUAUAUUCAUACACAAUAUACAAAAACAGUUCUUGCAGAAUGGUUUGGUGUGUUUGCGUUUUUUGGUUUUGUUUUGUUUCAUUUUAGCACAGCAAAGACAUGGAAAAGACACUGAGGUCCUAUUGCUCCUGUCGGAAAAUUCUGCUCGCUACAGCAUGAGUUGGAUUGGGCCCAGAGAAAGCAAAUACACACAAGUAAAGAGUUCACCAUACAAGCAAGGAAAAUCACAGAUAACAGGUGCAGACAAAUUAGCAACGUACCUUUUAGGUCAUCCAGUACAGCUCCGUGACACUGUGAGAUUGUUUUCUAUGGCAUAUUUUCAGGUGUUUUGUGUGCCUAGAUUAAAUGUCCUAAGUGAUGUCAUGUCCCUAGGGAGAGAUUGUGCUGCCUAGAGUAUCUUGUUGUCAGAAGUUUUUUUUUCCCUUUCUUAACAUCACCAUAUUUCUCCUAGUUACAUCCUUUUGCAAACUCCUUAUUUUCCUUCACUAAUGCAAUUUUCUUCCAGUAUCUUUUAACUACUGUGUUUAGUUAGCAUAAAGCCAACCCACAGCUAUUUAGAUCAUUUAAUCUUCCCUAACAAAUCAGUCCUUUCAGUCUCCUGGUUAUUCCUCCUUUCCUCUUGUCACACUCCUGCCUGUCAGUAUCUUUUUUAGUUCUGAGAUUUUAAAGAUGUGAUGCAUUUCUCUGAACUAAGGACAGAUCCGGUACAGAGCUGAGCACCCUCCUGAUGCGCCUAGGGAAAGCUGCCAGCAGUCUGGACAGACACACAGAUAGUAUCCUGCUCAAACCACUUCUCUUGUGCCACUUAUUCUAUUGGCCAACAAAACCCUGUUAAAACAGUUAACCUAGUAGUUCAAAAAACAAAUACAUGUCACUAUAGAUAUAUUUUAUUUCUCACAAUAUUAGGAGAUAAGAGUAGCACAGAUAAAAAAAAUCUUUGCUACUGUUGUUGAGAUUUUCUAACUCUUGGUCAUGGACAUCACAGGCUAAAAAUUAUGGAAGACGUCAUCUUCCAUAACUAAAUCUGAGUGUUAGAAGAGUACAUUGUAGAAAGUAAUUAUAAACAUAGUCACAAGCCUAGCUGUUCACUUCAGGCAAUAAAUUCUAAUCAACAAACAACACUCCUUUAGUGCUAAAUGAGAUCUCGGUUGUAAUUGAAUGUCCUUACCUUUGUGUUCUGUUGGAUUGGAGGAAUAUAAUUUUAAUCUGUUCUCUUAAAAUUUUCAUUAAGGAAUGUUUCAGCUACCUGCAGCCUCAUCUGAUGAUGUUUAAUGAUAUCAGCUAGCUCCGUCUUUCGUGUACUAGCAGGGGCUUCUUUAAAUUGGUCAACUAUAUGGAACAUUGUUUUCAAGUUUAAAAUAAUGUCAUCUCUAAAGACAGUUUAUAUACAUAGUGCACACAUACAUGCAUGCAUUUAUAUGUGCAUGUGUGUGUGCAUAUACGCGUGUAAGUGAACAUGUAUGUACAGAAACGUUGAUCUUCUUCACCUUCUUGAAGUCAUUACAGCUAGUAUUAACAUAAAUGUGCUGUUAAAUUGGCAGUGUUAUACAUUUUUGUUGGAGUUUACUCCUGUAACAUAAAAUCGGAAAGAUAAGCUGUGAAACUCAUGCAGCUGAUGACAUAAUGCUAGGAUCUCGUGAUGCUGAAUGUCAUAUUUCUAGGAGUGUGGGAUGGAUGUUCCUUGCUGAAAUAAUUAUACUGCCUAUUGCAAUAUAUGUUUCCUUGUUUUCAUGUGGGCACUGAGAUGUCCAAACCAUUAAAUGUAUAUGGUAUAAUG